rnacentral:misc_RNA from 1 species
GUUAUUACUCUCUAGCCUUUGGGCACUUGAUACCUUUCAAACACAAAGGAGACUCCAUUUCCAUUUAUUCAUAUUUGACAAGAGUGCUACGGAGAUAAAGUAACCAUGUGGUAGCAUCGGUGCUGGGAAACCAAAACUCCAAAACCCAAAAAUGGAAGAUAAUAAUGAUUAUCUGCCAUCAAGCAAGAAAAGGGGGGAGAAAUCACCGUUUCUACAGCCUCCUAAUUAAGUGGACGGGAACUGAUUCAGCAACGAAUGAAGGAAAGUCCAUGCCAGUGAUGUGC